AGACAUGGAUCCCUGAUAAAUAUUCUGCAGGCCGAACUCCUACAGUUAUCAGCAUCUGCAUCUGGAGAAUGCAACCUGUGGAAAUUUGUGCCAGGAGAGGUCCAAAAAAGCAGUUGCUUCCUAAGGAGUCUGGAAUGGACAAACAAAGGGCUUUUGUUUUGUGGAAUGGAGUAAGCAAAUUUGGCUCACAGCUGGAUUGCCCUGGAAAAUAAAGGUCUCCAAUCUUCUCUGUGAAGUCCUCCUUGAACUCCUCAGUUAAAGUGCUCCCACAGCGCCCUCCAUCCAGCAGUCUCCUAGCAGCCAUCACACUCUUUAUAACUGUCUGUUUAGAUGCCUGUCUCCCGUCCAGUCAGGGCUCCUCUAAGGUGGGAACAAUUUCUGUAUCCCCAGCACUUAUAAAUGUUGGGGCAGGAGUGAGUGAGUGUAUAGAUGGGACAGAUGGGUGAAUGGGUUGAUACCAUGUCAUCAGGGUCCUGCUCGCCCUUAAACAGUUCUGACAAGAUAACGUGAACGAAAUUUUUCCUUAUGUAUUAUCGCAUAUCCAUCUCUGUCCCUCUCAUCGCCACUGCUACCACCCUGGUCCAGACCCUCUUCUGCCAUCUAAUGUCUGGACUAUGGCAGCAGCCCGCUACAUGACCUUUUUGCCCGAUCUCUUCUCCAGUUCAUUCUCUACACAACAUCAAAACAAUGUUUUGACAUGGAAGGGAGGGAUAAAUCAGGAGCUUGAGAUGAACAUACACACACUACUAUAUAAAAGGUAGAUAAACAACAAGGACCUACUGUAUAGCACAGGGAACUCUACUCAGUAUUCUGUGAUAACCUAUAUGAGAAAAGAAUCUAAAACAGAAUGUAUGUACAUGUAUAACUGAAUCACUUUGCUGUACACCUGAAACUAACACAACAUUGUAAAUCAAA